GUUUCUGUAGUGUAGUGGUUAUCACGUCCGCCUAACACGUGGAAGGUCGCAGGUUCGAGCCCAGCCAGAAACA
rnacentral:tRNA from 1 species